UACGUAGGGUGCAAGCGUUGUCCGGAAUUAUUGGGCGUAAAGAGCGCGUAGGCGGCCCGGAAAGUCGGAUGUGAAAACCCGGGGCUCAACCCCGGGCCUGCAUCCGAUACUCCCGGGCUGGAGGCAGGUAGGGGAGAUCGGAAUUCCUGGUGUAGCGGUGAAAUGCGCAGAUAUCAGGAGGAACACCGGUGGCGAAGGCGGAUCUCUGGGCCUGUCCUGACGCUGAGGCGCGAAAGCUAGGGGAGCGAACAGG
rnacentral:rRNA from 1 species